UACGAGGGGGCGAGCGUUGUUCGGAAUUAUUGGGCGUAAAGGGUGCGUAGGCGGUUUGGUAAGUCUGAUGUGAAAUCUAUGGGCUCAACUCAUAGUCUGCAUCGGAAACUGCCGGGCUUGAGUAUGGGGAGAGGUGAGUGGAAUUCCUGGUGUAGCGGUGAAAUGCGUAGAUAUCGUAAGGAAGACCGUGGCGAAGGCGGAUCUCUGGACAGCUACUGACACUGAGGCACGAAGGCCAGGGGGAGCAAAACGGG
rnacentral:rRNA from 1 species